AGUCGAACGGCAGCACAGUAAGAGCUUGCUCUUAUGGGUGGCGAGUGGCGGACGGGUGAGGAAUACAUCGGAAUCUACUUUUUCGUGGGGGAUAACGUAGGGAAACUUACGCUAAUACCGCAUACGAUCUUCGAGUGAAAGCAGGGGACCUUCGGGCCUUGCGCGGAUAGAUGACCCGAUGUCGGAUUAGCUAGUUGGCGGGGUAAAGGCCCACCAAGGCGACGAUCCGUAGCUGGUCUGAGAGGAUGAUCAGCCACACUGGAACUGAGACACGGUCCAGACUCCUACGGGAGGCAGCAGUGGGGAAUAUUGGACAAUGGGCGCAAGCCUGAUCCAGCCAUACCGCGUGGGUGAAGAAGGCCUUCGGGUUGUAAAGCCCUUUUGUUGGGAAAGAAAAGCAGCCAGUUAAUACCUGGUUGUUCUGACGGUACCCAAAGAAUAAGCACCGGCUAACUUCGUGCCAGCAGCCGCGGUAAUACGAAGGGUGCAAGCGUUACUCGGAAUUACUGGGCGUAAAGCGUGCGUAUGUGGUUGUUUAAGUCUGUUGUGAAAGCCCUGGGCUCAACCUGAGA
rnacentral:rRNA from 1 species